rnacentral:rRNA from 1 species
UACGUAGGGUGCGAGCGUUGUCCGGAAUUACUGGGCGUAAAGAGCUCGUAGGCGGUUUGUCGCGUUGUCCGUGAAAACUCACAGCUUAACUGUGGGCGUGCGGGCGAUACGGGCAGACUGGAGUACUGCAGGGGAGACUGGAAUUCCUGGUGUAGCGGUGGAAUGCGCAGAUAUCAGGAGGAACACCGGUGGCGAAGGCGGGUCUCUGGGCAGUAACUGACGCUGAGGAGCGAAAGCGUGGGGAGCGAACAGG